CUUCCAGUGUAAUCUUGUCCGCAUCUUUCCAGAGAGCUUUCUUGCCAGCACCCCACCUUUUACACAUUCACCUUGAGUGAGAGUAAGCGCCACACGCACGUGCAAAGCAGCCCCACAAUGAAGAGAGAGCGCGCGUGCGAGAGAAGAAUGAAUGUCAUUCAUGGCAGGCUUCGCUCUUCAGCGUCGACGCCGGCAGCGCAAACCGAACCGCCACAGCAGCAGCGGCAGCAACUGGGGAGCGUUUAACGGUCCCUGCGAUCAGAUCGAAAUCGGGCGCCGCCGCUGGAUGUUUUUUUCAAUGCUGAAAGCGCGCCGAAUUCGCGUUGUUGCCUGAAAAGCACAAUUUUGUUGUUCUUCGUUUUGUUUUCUGUCGUACGCGCUGCGCUGUUCUUCCUCGUUCCGUUCCUUCUCCCCCCGUUCGUUUGAUCGUUGGUUGCGUGCGUGCGUCUCCUCUCUCUCUUCGUUCCAGCAAAAAGCAACAAUAAUUGUAUACAAAUUUCUCCUCGUCCUACCUGUGGUCUUUGCCCCCCGCGCCAAGUGUUCCUUCAACAAAAAAUAUGUAAUUAUCAAUAAAAGGAAAAACUCGAAAUCCGUGUGAAUAUGUUAACAUGAAACGUACAAAUAAAAAGUGUGUGAAAUAAUGUGCUGACAAUUUUUAACAUCAUCAAAAAAAUAUAUAUUUUAAUACAUACGUUCCAUCGUUUGUUGUUUCUGGGCCUUCCAUAAAUUCAACAAAAUAUAAAAGUAAAAAAGGAAAAAGCGGAAACCAGACAAUGACGGGAGGAAUUAUGAAAUUUUAAAGAAAUCCCCAAAAAGCGAAAAAAAACUGCCAACAAAAUAUGUUUAAUGCAUUGAAGUAAAGGAAACGUGUUUCAGGGCACCCAAAAACGUUGGGUAUAUAAACCAGAUUUACAUUUAAAGCUGAGAUAUAUAAGAGGGAUAUAUACAAAGUGUGGCAGCAGCAAAAGUAGCCGCCAGCAGCAA